AACGAACGCUGGCGGCAUGCCUAACACAUGCAAGUCGAACGAGACCUUCGGGUCUAGUGGCGCACGGGUGCGUAACGCGUGGGAACCUGCCCUUAGGUUCGGAAUAACUCCCCGAAAGGGGUGCUAAUACCGGAUAAUGUCUUCGGACCAAAGAUUUAUCGCCUUUGGAUGGGCCCGCGUUGGAUUAGCUAGUUGGUAGGGUAAAAGCAUACCAAGGCGACGAUCCAUAGCUGGUCUGAGAGGAUGAUCAGCCACACUGGGACUGAGACACGGCCCAGACUACUACGGGAGGCAGCAGUGGGGAAUAUUGGAAAAUGGGCGAAAGCCUGAUCCAGCAAUGCCGCGUGAGUGAUGAAGGCCUUAGGGUUGUAAAGCUCUUUUAACAGGGAUGAUAAUGACAGUACCGGGAGAAUAAGCUCCGGCUAACUCCGUG
rnacentral:rRNA from 1 species